CCGAGUUUACAACUCCCAAACCCAUGUGAACAUUACCAACUGUUGCCUCGGCGGAUCAGCCUGCUCCCGGGUGCGUCGCAGCCCGGACCAGGCCCCGCCAGGAGGACCACCACUCUUAUUAUACCCCUCCUGGUUUUCUAUCUGUAGCCUUCUCGGCGCCUAACUCGUGCGUUCGAAAAUAAAUCA
rnacentral:misc_RNA from 1 species